rnacentral:rRNA from 1 species
UCGGGAAUUUUGGGCAAUGGGCGAAAGCCUGACCCAGCAACGCCGCGUGAAGGAUGAAGUAUUUCGGUAUGUAAACUUCGAAAGAAUAGGAAGAAUAAAUGACGGUACUAUUUAUAAGGUCCGGCUAACUACGUGCCAGCAGCCGCGGUAAUACGUAGGGUGCAAGCGUUAAUCGGAAUUACUGGGCGUAAAGCGUGCGCAGGCGGUUAUGUAAGACAGUUGUGAAAUCCCCGGGCUCAACCUGGGAACUGCAUCUGUGACUGCAUAGCUAGAGUACGGUAGAGGGGGAUGGAAUUCCGCGUGUAGCAGUGAAAUGCGUAGAUAUGCGGAGGAACACCGAUGGCGAAGGCAAUCCCCUGGACCUGUACUGACGCUCAUGCACGAAAGCGUGGGGAGCAAACAGGAUUAGAUACCCUCGUAGUCCCUGAGCGGGCUGGCAAGGCGCAU